GAUGAACGCUGGCGGCGUGCCUAAUACAUGCAAGUCGAGCGAAGCGGGGACGGGUGAGUAACACGUGGAUAACCACCUAUAAGACUGGGAGAACUUCGGGAAAACGGAGCUAAACCGGAUACGUAGAGAUGGAUCCGCGCUGCAUGAGCGAGUUGGUAAGGGAACGGAUUACCAAGGCAACGAUGAGUAGCCGAACUGAGAGGGUGAUCGGCCACACUGGAACUGAGACACGGUCCAGACUCCUACGGGAGGCAGCAGUAGGGAAUCUUCCGCAAUGGGCGAAAGCCUGACGGAGCCACGCCGCGUGAGUGAUGAAGGUCUUCGGAUCGUAAAACUCUGUUAUUAGGGAAGCGGUACCUAAUCAGAAAGCCCCGGCUAACUACGUGCCAGCAGCCGCGGUAAUAC
rnacentral:rRNA from 1 species